GAUGGUAUUUGUGUGCUUCGAGAGGAAAUAUCGUUCUUAGAGGUUACAGAGCAGGAGCCCAGGAGAAGAGCGGUGCAAAGCAGGCACAGGUGUGCAGGAGCAGCACCCGGAUCGGUGCCGGCCGGCAGUGACCGAGUGGCCCCGCUGCUCCUGUCUCUGCCCGCUGCGGGAAAGGGCGGAGGGGGGGGAGGGAGGUGUCUCCACCGGGCCUUCAGGUGCCCCUCAGCCCCAGCGGCGAGCCCGGGGGGAGCGAGGGCUGCGGGCUCUUACCUGCAUCCCCGCUGCCGCCGGCUCGCCGCUCCCCGCGGCGGUGCUGGGCGCUGCCCCGGUGCCCCCGCGGCUCGGCGCUGCCCCGGCCCCGACACCCCGCGGAGCUCGGCGCCGCCCCGGUGCCCGGCGCGCGCGGGUCGCGCUCCUGCGGCCGCUGCGGCUUCGGCGCGAUCUUUCCGGGAAACGAAAUCGAAACGAGCCGGGGCGCCGGGAGGCAGGAGAGCGGCGGGGGCAGCGCCCAGGGCCGUGUUCCCCUCCCGCCCCCCCGGACCAUGUCCCCGCCGCACCCGGGGGCUCCCGCUCCGCCCCGGGAGAAAGUUUGGCUCCCGCCGCUGCCCCUUGGCCGUGCCGGGCCGUUACCGGCACCGAGCAGCGCCGUUGGCAGCAACAGAGUCCCCCGGCUCCCCGCGUCCCUGUGGGCUCCCCCGUGUCCCCGCUCCCGACCCGCAGCACGGUGCCGGGGAGACCGGCCGGGAGGAGCUCGGAGAAGGCUUCCGCGUCCCCGGGCCGGGAACAGCUCCCGUGCCCGCUUUUCCCUUCCUCCCCUCAGCGACCGCCUCCGCCCUCGGCCGGGCCCCGCCCCGCCCCGCGUGCACCGGCGGCGGGCACCCGCAGGCGGCGGAGGGGAGGGAGCGGCCUCGGCGGGGACGCGGUGAGCGGGGCUCGGGGGCUGCGGAGGGGGCUGCUCGGCGCCCGGCGGGUUCCGAAGCCCCCUCACGCGCCUCUCGGGGCUUUCGGGGCCGGCUCGCGGGCCCGGGGGAGCCCGGCGCGUGGUGGCGGCCUGCGCGUCCCCGGCGGGGCGCCGCUCGCUGGGGGCGCGCCUGGGGCCUGCGGCGGGGGCGGCCGCUGGGGGGCUGGGGGUGCCGGCCGGGCCCUGCCGAGCCGGAGGCCCGCGAGGCCUCCCCCGCGCAGCGCCGCAGCGGGCCGGGACCGAUCCCCGGCUGUAGCGCUGCGUCCCGAACUCCGCCGCGCGUUAGCCCGUUGCCCAGCGCUCUGUGGAGGCCUCGGGCCGUGCCCGGUGCCCGCUGGUGA
rnacentral:lncRNA from 1 species